rnacentral:rRNA from 1 species
GACGAACCGUGCGAACGUUGUUCGGAAUCACUGGGCUUAAAGGGCGCGUAGGCGGGCUCAAAAGUCAGGGGUGAAAUCCCACGGCUCAACCGUGGAAGUGCCUUUGAUACUGUGAGUCUCGAGGGAGGUAGGGGCGUGCGGAACUUCCGGUGGAGCGGUGAAAUGCGUAGAGAUCCGGAGGAACACCAAAGGCGAAGGCAGUGUCCUGGGGAGUACCUGACGCUCAGGUGCGAAAGCCAGGGGAGCGAACGGG